AGUGAACGCUGGCGGUAGGCCUAACACAUGCAAGUCGAACGGCAGCACAGUAAGAGCUUGCUCUUACGGGUGGCGAGUGGCGGACGGGUGAGGAAUACAUCGGAAUCUACUUUUUCGUGGGGGAUAACGUAGGGAAACUUACGCUAAUACCGCAUACGACCUACGGGUGAAAGCAGGGGAUCUUCGGACCUUGCGCGAUUGAAUGAGCCGAUGUCGGAUUAGCUAGUUGGCGGGGUAAAGGCCCACCAAGGCGACGAUCCGUAGCUGGUCUGAGAGGAUGAUCAGCCACACUGGAACUGAGACACGGUCCAGACUCCUACGGGAGGCAGCAGUGGGGAAUAGGGGACAAUGGGCGCAAGCCUGAUCCAGCCAUACCGCGUGAGUGAAGAAGGCCUUCGGAUUGUAAAGCCCUUUUGGUGGGAAAGAAAAGCAGCAGGUUAAUACCCCGCGGUCCUGACGGUACCCAAAGAACAAGCACCGGCUAACUUCGUG
rnacentral:rRNA from 1 species